GUGGAGCAUGUUGCUUAAUUCGAGACAACGCGAAGAACCUUAUCCUGGAUUUGACAUGCUUGUAUUAGCUCUGUGAAAGCAGAGUGACGCCUUCGGGUGGAACUUGCACAGGUGCUGCAUGGCUGUCGUCAGCUCGUGCUGUGAAGUGUCGGGUUAAGUCCCUUAACGAGCGCAACCCCUAUCGUUAGUUACUAACGCGUUAUGGCGAGGACUCUAACGAGACUGCCGGUGUCAAACCGGAGGAAGGUGGGGAUGACGUCAAGUCCUCAUGGCCCUUACGCCCAGGGAUGCAAACGUGCUACAAUGGCGUGUACAGAGCGAUGCUAACCUGCGAAGGUAUGCAAAUCGCAAAAAGCACGCCCCAGUUCGGAUUGCAGGCUGCAACUCGCCUGCAUGAAGCCGGAAUCGCUAGUAAUCGCAGGUCAGCUAUACUGCGGUGAAUAUGUUCCUGAGCCUUGUACACACCGCCCGUCAAGCCACGAAAGCUGGGAGUACCCGAAGUCGUGUACCCAACCGCAAGGAGGGAAGCGCCGACGGUAAGCUCAGUGAUUGGGACUAAGUCGUAACAAGGUAGCCGUAGGAGAACCUGCGGCUGGAUCACCUCCUU
rnacentral:rRNA from 16 species